ACAAGAAUAAAGAGGAGUAUAAAAUUGAGUGGUAAUGCUCCUUGUGGUUUGAUCUGAUGUUCAUCUCCCUGCAAGCGAAGCGGUUUAUUUGAGCAGAGUUUAUUAGCGCUGCUGACAGUAGAAACGGAAAUCAGGAAUGUGAGUUGUUUAUGCAGAUGUUUUCUAGGCGGCGGGGAUCCCAGUCUGCUCUCAGACUCUCUGAAAAUCGCAAUUACGUGCGGAAGAAGUGCAGCUGAUUUACCGGUACACACUCCCCAGCCCUGAAGUGCGACCUUCCGAAAACACUGAUUAACGAGAAACCAGAUUGACCAGCUGUGCACGUAUUCCACUCGUCAUUGUUUCUCCACCAAGGAUUCAAGGAGUGCUAUGAUCCUGUAUUGUAUAAUUUAUAUACUGAAUAAAAGUUUUUAAAAUAUUAA